CCCUCAGCAUAUGAUGUCAGCGGCUCUGGCGCCCGGCUUUGUCAGCCGCGGUUCCUGAAUGUCACACCCUGGAACUGUGUGGUAUUUCUGUUGUCCGACCACAGUACGACGUAGGCUCCACGCCACAGGGACUCUGGCUUCCUGGUCGGCCACUUUGUGCCUGGAGCAUGGAGCCGGGCGGGUGCCUGGUGGAUGUGUGUUGAAUAAACAGCUCUCCCUCCUGUCAGGACAAGCAAAAGCAUCAGAGACAGAGACAGGGAUAGAGACAAAAGACAGACAGAGAUGGAGACACUGACAGAGUGAAUGAGAGAGAGACGGCAGCCCGCGUGAGCGGGCUCUGCCUGAGAUCUCUGGCCACUGGGCUUUCUGCUCCUGCUCACUCUAAGGGAACUCCAGUGGGCUCUGCCCAUCCUGUGUUGCCGGAUC
ensembl:lincRNA